CGUCGAGGGACAAGAUGGCGGCUUGCAUGGGAAGUUCUGGCAACGUGACUCUGUGAUCCCAGCGCAAGUCGGAAACCAGCGGCGGGCAGAGCGCGGGCAGCGGCCAGGGGCCAGCGGGGUAUGUGUUAAUAAUGUGUUAUACGUGUGUUUAUUGAUGGGAAGUGGCUGACAGCGUGGCCCCCACCCUGGGCUGGAGGGUAAGGAGGGGAUUCUACUUGGUAUCCAUUUAAAGGGUGACUGCCUACUAAUGGCUAUAUUAUUAUUAUAGCCGCACUCCAAGGACUUUAUAGAGAUUUUCAAAUAAAAUUUAAACUUUUAUUUAAUCCAUUUAAAAAGUCAACGUUUCAGCUCCCACAUGGAGCUUUCAUCAGGAUGAAAAAGUCAACGUUUCAGCUCCCACAUGGAGCUUUCGUCAGGAUGAAAGUCAACGUUUCAGCUCCCACAUGGAGCUUUCAUCAGGAUGAAAAAGUCAACGUUUCAGCUUCCCACAUGGAGCUUUCGUCAGGAUGAAAAGCUCCAUGUGUGAGCUGAAAUGUUGACUUUUUAAAUGGAUUGAAUAAAAGUUUACAAUUUAUUUGAAAAUCUCUAUAAAGUCCUUGGAGUGUGGUCAUUUCUGCUAUGUCUACAUGAUCCUUGCCAGACCAGCACCGGGCACCACAGGAUUACACCAGGAGUGCAAGCCCUCGCUAUUUAUAUAUAGAUAUAAUCUGGUAGUUUACUAUCACCAUGUAAAAAGAUCACGCAGGGCUUUUUAAGACUUGUUUUUGAAGGUGUUGAUGUUGCUAAACGUGUUCCUGUCUAGUGGAAAUGUUACUUAAAAAAAAAAAAAAAAAUUUAUUUUAAAAAUGCAACUAGUGGCCACUAAUUUAAACUGAGUUCCACUACUGAAAUUUUAACCAUCGUGUGUGUAUUAGCCGGUGCAGCUUGUAAAAUGGAAUUUUACUUCUUAAAUUGUCUACAUGCCUUCUCUGCUCGAUUUUGUUCUCUCAACCAAUGGAGCAAAGUAAUGUCGCUGCCAGGAAGAUGGAGCUCCAUAUAGCUGAAAAUUGGGAAUUAAGUGAAAGUAAUCUAGCUGAAGUAUUGGUGUGACAGAUCAGUGUGGGCUACAAAACACACGUGACAGAUGACCUGGAUGGGUCCAAAAUUGCUAUAUAAAAAACUGGCAAAAAUAAAAAUAUCACACUACUGCAGAGUGUAUGUUUUAAAUGUUGCUAUAAAGGCUACUUUAGCAUAACCUCUGAUGAUUAAACACAAUCUACAAACCAUAGAUAGCACCCAGGAUGGGACGAAUAAAAUAAAUAGAGGUUUGGACACAACUUCUGAAGAAUAUUAAAGCAAAAAAAUCUACCCCUGCCGUAGUGAUGGAAUUCCGAAAUAUUGGUGAAUGAAAAAAAAUGUACACUAUUCCUUUCAUGGAACUUGGUAAUAUUACAUGAUUGUUUGGCCAUGUGUGACUUCUGCUAGCACUCAUACCAUCUAUAACAGCUAAUGUCAAUAGUAGGAUGUCCACAAGGUAUAUUGUAACAUCUGUUCAGAUCUUACACCCUACUGAACUGUGGAGGUAAUAGCACUUUUUAACAACUCAGUAAAAAUGCACCUAUUACCUUUUGCAUAACAGUACAGCCUGCUAUCUGAUGCACAUGGAAAAUGUCCCAAAGUCAAAUUCAUUCAGUAUGCACAGGACAACUGAGGAAGAUUGUGGAAUCGAUUAACUGGAAGCACAGUGGCCGUAAAGUUGUUUGUUAUAUUUUAGAUCAUUUCUGAACAAUACAACGUUUUCAAAAGUCUGAGAAUGUACGGAAAAUAUCUUCACUUUGUUGUUGUAGCACCAUUUUGUUCACUCACAAAGUAGAAUAUCCCUAAUAGAAAAGUCAAUUCCUUAUCUUGUAGUCAGCUGGGUCACUUUCUCAAGAUUGCGUGUGACCUAUUCAGAAGCAAACCAAAAGUGGAGAUGACUGCAGUAUAUGCUGUAUAGAGCAUUACCUGGGAAUAUACAUUAUUGCAGUCUUUGAAUGGAAAUUAAUUGCAAUGUCCUCCUACGCAUCAUGGCAAACUUGCUUUUGAGAUAUUUGACAAUGAAAAUAGUUGUAAUUACCCAGCUCAGUAAAGUUGACUUGAGUUUAAUAUGAAUACUAGCUGUUUUUUUCUGUAAUCAUCAAAUCUCACUUUGGAGUAACUAAACAAAAUUUAUUUGCACAUUAAUAUUAUAGCUACUUAAUUUAUUAAUUCAUAUUUGCAUUUUUGUUUGUGUAAUUAUUUCAGCUGAAUUCAUGGUCUUUUGAAGAAUCAAAUUUACCUACCUUGGGGCACAUUUCGUAGCAAAGACAAAAUGUCUAGCUACAAGCCUGUAGCUAUCUCUUCUUUCCCCAAACUUGGUGAAAAGAUAACGCAAGAUACCCUGUACUGGAAGCGUUACAAGGUAACAGAACUAUCUUUAUUUUAAUCAUUUCUGAACGAAAAGUUUUAAUUUUGUUUCAUUUUUGUGGUUACGUUUGUAUGUAGUUGCAGUAUGUAAAAGGAAACAGAAACUGAUAGUUUUGUAUGUGCUAAACAUGAUGUAGGAGUCUAUUUGCUGCAAAUCCUGAGGUUUGCAAGGGGUGGAUUGUAACAAGGAUAGAUAUGUAUCAAAGGACCAAAUGAUUUCCCUCUCCGUAAAAUCAGUACAAUAUCUCAAAGAUAACGUGUCACUAUGUAGUGCAGUGGUUGUCAACCUUUUUCUAACUACCGCCCAAUAAUGCAUCUUUCUUGAUGGAAAAAUUUCCUUACCGCCCACCAGUUUUCGUGCAAGUGCAGAAUAUUUUUUAGAAAGGAGGGUGUUUUUAAAAAAAUAUAAAUUACGUACAUUUAUCUUUAUUUCUAUUUAAUGCAUGUUUAUAAUGUUUUUAACUUUAUAAAGUUUAAUGAGAAAACAAAGUAAAUUGAAAUUACCUUUACUAGUGAUUAAUGAGAUCGUUGAGGCUGAUGCUGCAAGACUAAAUAUUUGAUAUCUGGUUCGAUUUUCGUAAGGAACAAACGAAGGUCUCCUCUUUCGGUGAUAUUCAGACGACUUCUCUGUUUGCGCAUAAUAUGAUUUCUCAUCUGUGCGUCAGCUCAUCUCUUCUCCAUCCUCAAUUCCCCUCUCCACCUUUUUCCCCCCAUUUUUUUUUUCUAUUUUUUAACCUUCCUUAUAGCAAUGCUCAGUAGGAAGGCUGAGCUAGGUAGCCCACUUACUAUAGCCCACUAUAACAGACAGGCUUUAACAGCGUGACCGGGCCCCCUGUUAUUACAGCACACGCUGGGAGGAAGUGACUGCAUGUCACUCCUCCCAGCUAACACACAGACCGCGCGGGUGGAAGACCAGGGAGUCAGAGUAGGAACUCUGACUCCCAUCCACCUGAGCCACCACUGGACCCCAGGGAAAGUCACCCUCCUGCACCUAAAAGGUAGAAACCGGAGGGUGACAAAUAUUUUGUGUGUGUGUCUGUAUAUAUGUGCGUUAUAUGUGUGUGUGUCUGUGUGUGUGUGUGUGUGUGUAUAUAUGUAUGUAUAUAUAUAUAUAUAUAUAUAUAUAUAUAUAUAUAUAUAUAUAUAUAUAUAUAUAUAUAUAUAUAUAUAUAUAUAUAUAUAUAUAUAUAUAUGUGUGUAUAUAUAUAUAUGUGUAUAUAUAUAUAUGUGUGUGUAUAUAUAUAUAUGUGUGUGUAUAUAUAUAUAUGUGUGUGUAUAUAUAUAUAUAUGUGUGUGUGUAUAUAUAUGUGUGUGUGUAUAUAUAUGUGUAUAUAUAUAUAUACACACACACACUCACUCCAGUGUAGCCCUAGGCAAUAUCCGGUUACACUGAGCACAAACACACACAAAGCACCCAUAUACAUAAAUGAUCUAUUUAUAUACAGCCAUAUGCAAUCAUUACAGCACCUCUAAAAGUGAAUGAAUAACAAGUGCAUUUUACGUUACAACCCGAGCAAAUAAAAAUUCUCCCCACAGCAGUGAAAAAUAUUAAACCCGGUGAAUACAUAUUUAUUUUUUAAAAAAGGGUUAAAUUGCAAUUGUAAAAUUUGCGGACACUUCCAUGUGCUAUGUAUUUAAUUAAAACUCCGUGCCUCCUAUUUAGCACCUUGUACCACAGUGCACCCUGACUGCAAGAAUUGGCGAGGUUCUAUCAUGGACUCUAACUCCCAACAUUCUUAGAAUGUUUGCAGCCAGUGCGUGGUGAUAGUAGCAGUUCACAAAGGCUGCCUUUCACCUGCUCCAAGCAAUGGCUGUUACAUUGUAACACGGAUGAAGGGGAAGAUUGGAAUAAUUAAAAAAAAAAAAAAAAUCCCCUUACCUGAUGAGAUUGAGGAUCCUGACAGACUGAAGUUACUAGAUGUCGCCAUCCCUGUGCUGGGACAGUAAAGUAAAGGCGGGCGGCGAGGGAGCACUUUCCCCUGAGCACGCUCAGCUCAGUCGCGCGCCGCAGAGUGAUGCUGGGAUGUCAUAUUCCGGCUCCUGGCAUUACUGCGGGUUGCGUGAGGGAGCUGAGCAGAGAGAGCUCAGGGGAAAGUGCUCCCUCGCCACCCGACCGGGGGAGCCCAAAGGUGGCCAGCUCUUGGGCUCCCAUAAAACGAGGCAAACAAGGUAAUUGCCUGGGAAUUUGGGGGCGGCGUUUUUUGCCGCCCCCUGGAAAUUGUCACCCGAGGCAAAUGCCUUGUUUGCCUCGUGGUACACUUCCCUGAUUGUAGUAGUUAUAAUCCUAUGAAUCUAUUGGUACAGUAUCCAAGAUUUGUCAGACCACAAGGUACUUCGUGCCUAUUUUAGAAUCUGUUGUGGAUCAAGCUGUAAAAAAGCUAGAUACACGAUGGAUUUUAAUGAAGUGUUCAUUUUAAAGCAUUUAGCUCUUUCUUACACAUCACUUUUAAUAGGUUUUUAUCUAUGGUAUGUGGUAGAAGCAUUUUUCUGUCCUUUAAGCAAGCAUACUUUUUAAGAUGUGGCUUUAUUGGUUUCGAUGAUGUUUGCAAUUUAAAUAUAUCCUGAUCUUUGUUGGCAUCUUGAAGAAACGUUAAAUGGAAAAAAGUUAAUCAGUGGCCAAAUACGAACAUGUGCUUUUUAUGCUUAAGAUCCUCCUGGUAUAGUUUCCCAAACUAUGCCCUUUAGAGGCCAACAUUUUUGGUUACUUUUAUUUUGUUUGUUCCAUCCUGGAUAUUGACAUUAAUUUUUUUUUUACUGCAAACUAUUAUUUAAAUAGCCAAGGGCUUUCCAUCUAUUUCUUUAAUUCUGGCAAAGGUUAUGUCUUACAUGACUGGUUAAUGAUGUAAAGAGAGCAGUAUAGUAGUAACACAUAAAAAUAUAUUUCUGGGCAACGCAAAACAUUAGUUUACACUAGAUGGCAUUUCAUUGCAUGUACAAGUAUUUCUGUUCUGUCGUGAUGGUGUAACCGUAAUUUAUAGCUUAUUUUAUCAAUAACUUUUUCAUGUAUUUUUAUUCAUUAGACACCCGUUCAGAUUAAAGAAUUUGGUGCCAUCACAAAAAUACACUUCUCGCCUAUACAGCCAUGUAACUUCGCGGUCACAUCCUCUACAAGGGUAAGUGUAAUUGUAAAGGUACUUCUCACAUAAUGGUAAACUUUUUUUUUUUUUUUGUACAAGUUUUGCUUUUAAACCCAAUCUUUAUAGUCCCAUUUUUAAAUGUAGGCUUUAGGCACCGUAAGUCCUCCAUCUCAAUGAAGUGGUUAUAGUGUCUGAAGACCCCUGGCACCAUCCAUCCCUCCAUUCAACGUUGGACAGUUUCAAAUGUUUUCAUGCUAAAUGAGUCCCCAACAACCUGCCCCCUAUGUGCUCCUUGAGUUAAUUAGGAAACAUUAGCCUGAACAGCAAUUGGCCUAUUACAGCCAUUCAUUGCAGGUAUUAAUCUCUACCCCACAACAAAAACAGAAUAGGAGAACUCUGAGAAUGAGCAAAAGCUCAGAGAAACCUCAGUAACUUGCCCUUCACUUAGUCCGCGCUUUCAGACGUGGAAUCGGUUUGAAAUGUAAAUAACAUAGGUUUGCUUUGUAAUUGCACAAUUGAGCUAAAAUCUUUGAGACCUGAGCAGUACUAACUGAAUGGUAAGAUAUUGAGGUUUCUGUGAUUUUUUUUUUUUUCUUUUUGAUUUUUUUUUUGGGGGGUUCCCAAAAAAUUGUUUUAAUUGCAAUUGGUGCCUUAGCCAUGCCUCCAGUGGGGCCUGGGAUGUGGGCAUACAGAGACCAUCAUUCAGUAUUUUACUGUUUGAAAAUAGUAUUGCAGUGAGUGGAACGGCAAUAGCAUAGGCACUAUUAAAUGAUUUGAAACGGUUAUAGUGUCUAGAGUGUCCCUUUAUCUACGCUCAUUCGUGUGAGCCAGUAAAUUUACCUAGCCUCCCUGUUUGCUGUCUGUAGGAUCAGUCCAAGAUUUCAGAUGUAAACAUACAUAGUUGCAUUUCUUCUUUCGUUCUUUGGAUUCUCUUUCUUGGUCUAAUGUCCUGAUGGCUAGCCAAGUAAUAAAGUUGAAUUUUUCUUCCUCCAGAUUCAUGUCUAUGGGCAGUAUUCUCAAGAACCUAUAAAAACCUUCUCCCGCUUCAAAGAUACCGCUUAUGGUGGUACAUAUCGAGAUGAUGGCAAGCUGCUUGUCGCAGGCUGUGAAGAUGGAGUUGUUCAGCUCUUUGACAUCAAUGGAAAAGCUGCUCUUAGACAGUUUUACGGUCAUAACAAGUAGGUAUUAUUGGUUUUAGUAUGAAAUGUCACAGAACGUAUUUUCGGUAGACCGUUUUGCCACAGUUUAUCCUCUAACCUGGGUUCCUGCUAGUCGUCGAACCUCCUAUAAACCUGUUGGUACCCAUCAGGCUUCUGCAGAAGAUGUCAAUCAUUCUUUGGUGGAGAGUAUCAUCUGAUCGCUCUCAGCUAAUGAAUAAAACUCUGUGCAUGGAAUAUGCACAGAAUUUACAUUCCAAACUGACUAUACUGCUGCAGGUUGAGUUACACCUCAAGCAGCAAAAUAAAAUAUCUGUGUGUAGAGUUUCUAAAAUGCUGCACAUACAGACUCCAGUGUUUUGAAGUCAUUAUGGUGCUUGAAGCAACACUUUAAAAGAAAAAGAAAAAAUUAUUUCGAUAAUUACAUCUUGGCAGACAUUCCCACAGAAUUAUCCUUCCCAGAAGAGAACACUGGCAAUGACUAACCAUACCCAAAUUUCACAUGCUGCCCAGCCAGCCUUAACACUUCUGGGUGAUAUUAUGUUCGAUGUUUAUGUUAAGAAUCACUAAGAAUACCUAUUGGCGCAGAGUUCAUAUUUACUGAGCUGUCAGAAGCAGGUAGAUUACUUUUAUAUGGAUCAGAGAGAUAGACCAUACUAGAUUUUAUGAUUAACUUCAUUGUGGGUUUUGUAUUUCUUUAGUUACUGGCAAUAUGUUUCUUAACAUUCUUAUUAACCGGCAGUACAGUUGAAUUUCUAGGAUCCCAUUACCUUGUGUACAAGAUUCAACUUCGCUUAGUGUAUCGAUGUGCAGUGAAUUUUGCAUUAUUCUAUUGUGGGGCCCUUGAUGGUGCACACUAUGGUAUUGGGUAACCGGAAUAUAAAAGACUUUAUUAACUAAACACUGAAUUGUAAUGAAUUGAAAACCAUUUGGGGAAAAACAAAAAAAUUUAAAAUAUAUAUAUUUUUCUCCUAAAUAUGAAAAAUCCUCUGUUUCCUGUUCUCAUAUUUAGGACUGAAAUUCGAACUUCACUCUGAAUGCUUCAUCAUUAUUUUAUUGAAUUACCCUGUUAUUGUCCAUUGUACCUUCAUUAGACAGAUUGGUUUAAAAUAAACUUCUUUACUGGAAAAAGACCGCAUGAAUGCCUAAAAGUAAAAAUAAUUAAAGGAGUUCUGUGUAACAAUGCUGUUUUGUGCGUUUGCUUUCAGAUCAGUACAUUUUGUGGACUUCACAUCUGAUAAGUAUCGGAUACUGUCCGGUUCUGAUGAUUAUUCUUCCAAGAUUUGGGACAUUCCAAAUGGAGCUGAGAUUGUAAACUACAAGGAGCAUACAGAUUAUGUGCGAUGCGGCUGUACCAGCAAACUGAAUGAAGAUCUAUUUGUAACCGGUAUAUUUUAUUUUUUUAAUUUAAAAAAAUAAUCUGUUUGAAUGUUAGUUAGCAGCUACAUUGCCCACAUGCAGACUUAGUAGCUAAACAAAUUUUUAUCACUGCAGUUAAUGGUUAAACAUUUCACUGCUUGAUGGGGGCGUGGCCUUACUGCUAAUGGCGCCAGACGUGUAAGUCUGAAGCUCCGAGUUAGCUGAAACCUCCACACUGCAUGCCACAGUGAUGCAAGCGAAUCUGGGCUUACUGGUCUCACCGCUGAACGGAGACUUAAGAUGACCCACUAAUCCUGGGAUAUUGCCCUAUAUCCCCAUACUUAUUCCUGUGUCUGUCCCUUCCUAACUCAUUGCCUUUCUUCCAGAGGGCUUUGGAGCCCACACACUGUUAUCAAAGAAACACAAAUUAUAAACUGAGUGAUAUUAAUAGUGAAAGGUUUGACUGUUCCAUGUGUGCUGCAGUUAAAUUCAUGAUCUUUUCUUUGUACUUUUACAGGGUCAUAUGAUCAUACUAUCAAAGUGUUUGAUACGCGAACGGAAAAGAGUGUGUUGACAAUGGAUCAUGAGCAGCCAGUAGAAAGUGUGCUUCUUUUUCCUUCUGGGGGUCUUCUUGUUUCAGCUGGUGAGUAAUUGUUCCAGUUUGUGUAUAAAAAGAAUGUACAUGCCCACUGGAAUCCAGGAGGUCAGAGAUUCAAUCUUUUAAGCAGUGUUUACGACUCUGCAAUGAUCCUCCAAACUUUACAAACUCAAGCUGUAAUCAUCUGUCCUGUGACUCAUAAAGGUUUGUAAACUGCUAUGUUUACAUUGAGGGUUAAUCCAGCCUCUAGUGGCUGUCUCCCUGACAGCCACUAGAGGCCGCUUCCACGAUUCUCAAUGCGAAAAUCGCAUUGAACUCGCACUGGCCGUUUGAAUGUGCACACGGCUCUGGCCGUGCAUUUGGAACAGGGGGAGGAGAGGUCACCGGUGCUGGAGAAAGGUAAGUGGCUGAAGAAGUUUUAUCCCCUUCAGCCCAGUGGUAGGAUGCCCUGAGGGAAGGGGGGACCUAAUAACCCGAGUUUGUUUUCCUAGCACUAUAGUGGUCCUUUAAUGAUCCAUUCUUUAACUGUUUAAUUAAACUUAUAUGAAUACAAAAAAGAAAAGAAAAAAACUACCAUAAAGUGUCUCAACAUUUUGGUAAAUAUGGUCACAAUAAAAUGGGCAUAAAAAAAUAACUUUUAAUGGAUAUAUUAAAAUGUAAAAUAGAAAAGAUAAAAGCAAAACAAAAAGCACAAGGCUACAAAAUAAUGUCCUAUAAACUAGUUGGGGUAUUAAACCUUUAAUAGAACCAAUAGCAAGAGAAGUGUUGCUUCAAAGAAAUACUUAUUGGUGUAAAGUAAAACUACAUGCUAUGAACAAUGUAACUGAAUUCUAAAUAGAAAAGUGGGAUACUAGUAUCUUCAAAACUCUUCCUGCAGAACAGGGUAGGUUGAAUAUAGAUGAAAUGCCUCUAGUGCACAAGGGGUUAAACAGCACAACAGUUGGUUGCAAUGGUUAAUAGAAAAGAGGCAGGGAAUACCUGUAAAAUAAAGAGGUAUAGGAGACAGUUGCAAGCUAGGUUAGAUAUAAUGGUCAGUAGAAAUAUAGAGACUAUAGGUAAUCCUGACGCUUGCUAGCAAGAGAGGUGUAAAUACAAAGAUACUUAAUAGUAAAAAGUUAAGCCACUUUCUAUAAACAAUGUCAGUGAAUUCAAGAUGGGAGGGUGGGGUAUUAGUAUCCUCUGAACUCCUCCUGCAAAACAGGGUCUGCUGUUUAUAGAUAAAGUACCUCUAAUACACAAGAGGUUAAACAGUACACCAAUAUGGUUGCAAUAGUUUGACCAUUAUAUCUAACCUAGCUUUUAAGUUACUUACGUUUAAUUAAACUUAAUUCAGGAAAACCCUUGUAUUUGACUCUAGUGUCAGAGGAAUCUCAACACAAUUUAGGAACACAAUUCUGCUAUAGUAAACCAUUUUUGGCUGUUGCCAAGGGUCUGUCUAAUGUAGGUCUGUUGCAACCAGUUGGACUGCUUGUAAUAUUUUCAGAUCUUGAGUCAGACUUCCAAAGAUCUGACAAAAUAUUACAAGCAGUCCCACUGGUUGCAACAGACUUCUUGAGUCAGACUUCCAAAGCCACAGUAUUCCUCUUUGUCAGUCAUUCUAGUGUUUGGUCACCUGCAAACAUUUUUGUAUUCGUCUUUGUGCGGAUAAGGCCACAUCCAAGAACAUCACUUCCAACUUGGUACUGAUCUACUUGUUUAGUAAUACGGUUAUUCCUCUCUGGCAGUACUGACUGACCACUUGCCCAUGGCAUUAUGUGUAGAUAUGGCAGCACAUAGUCUGAACAUUAAUAAUAUCUAGUUCUAUGCAUGUAUAUUUUUAAUGUGAUAGAAAUGUAACCAUAUACUCUGUCUUUCUGUAGUCUCUCAUUCCACCAUAGAUCUCACUUUUCCAAAUGUUCCUUAAAUAUAAUGCAUUUGUUCUACUUUUGGGUACGUGAUUAAUAUUAAUACGUGAAAUGCCAUUUCAUUAAAGAUGAACCUUUUUUCCACACAAUAUAUUUGUAUUUUUCUGGCAUAUAGUGCAGUACAGGUGAGAUGAUCUACCUUCAGGUAGACAAGUAACCUCUGCAUUAAAAUGCCAAUUUUUUUGGCAAUAACACUCCCCAUCAUGUCUUAAAUAACUGCUCUGAAACAAUGUCCCCAGUUCUUGCUUGUCCCAGUUUUGGGGUAGACGGAUCCUUUGUGUUUUGCUGAAGUUAUUUGUUAACAGAUGUUAAUUUCACUGUUUUUCUCCCCUUUCAGGUGGACGAUAUGUCAAAGUCUGGGACAUGCUGAAAGGUGGCCAAUUACUCGUGUCAUUAAGAAAUCAUCACAAAACCGUCACUUCGUUGUGUCUAAGCAGCUCUGGUCAGAGGCUGUUGUCUGGCUCCCUCGAUCGGUACGCACUACGCUUUCAUUUCUUUCCUUCUGCACUUUGAGAUAUUGUACUCGCAAGAGAACGUAGAUCACUCCUCCCCCCCCACCCCCCCCAAUAGACCUAUUAGUUUUUUUUACCCACUUGACAUAUCCAGAAUGAGCUUGCUCGAGUAUGUCUUCACUUUCACCACAUAUUCUAGAAAUAAUAUACUGUUUUUGUUGUGCCUGAAAUUCUAGUUCAUACUGGCAUCAAAUUUCCUUUUAAUGUAUGUUACCUUUGUAAUGAGGCUUUACUGUAACUUUUAUACAUUGUUUAAACACAGUAAGAGAACUGCUGGUGGUUUACCAGCUGUAAGUGAGUGAGGACCAUACAGUUGAAUAGUUCUAGAGUUCUGCUUGGUAACUUGUAGUAAUGUGAGCAGCAAUGGGGUUGCAGAUCCUGUGUGUCUGUGCACUAUUUCUCUGCAUGUUUUAUUGUGUUAUUGCAUGCCGUUUUAAUUGUGAGUUAAAGUAGGAACUGUUGUGUUUUUAUAACAGGCACGUGAAGAUCUACAGCACAAUGAACUAUAAAGUAGUUCACAGUUUUGACUACGCAGCCUCCAUUCUAAGCCUUGCGUUGGCGGUAAGUGUCAAAGUGCAUUUGAAUUUGUCUUUAUUUAUUUAUUUUUAUUUUUUUCCUUCUCGUAUUUUUGGCAUUUAUUUCUACUAUACAAGAAUGAACUUGCAUUAUUGAUUAUUGAUCAAGAAUAUUCAGGGGGCAACUAAUAAAUUAUAAAUUCUUGAUUUUUAUUAUAUAUGAUCAGUAAAUCCUUUCGCUUACACUUUUUUUUUUUUUUAUAAAUGGUAUUCUAGCCGGACGAUGAAAUGAUUGUAGUUGGAAUGACCAAUGGGGUGUUAAACAUUAAACACCGGAAACCUGCAGAAAAAAUUACCUCUCAAACUACCAAAAAGAGGCACCCACGCUACAGGAUGUUUGUCCGAGGCAAAGACUACAUGCCCAAACAGGUACUGUAAUAGCAAAUUAAAUCCUGUUCACCGGAUUGUGGGGCAGCUCGUAACUUUUGGUAAAUCACCCUGACCCUUUUCUGCUUAAAUUGGAGAAUUGUCAUUUGUUCAUGCUGUAAUGUCACUGUCCAUUCAGAGACUUGUAGUAUUUUUAUAACGCAAGUUGUUAAAUUCGCUCAGCAAACAUUCUCUUAAUAUUAACAUCAUACUCCGCUCUCACAAAAAUCAUUUGUUGAAAUUGUUUAAUAGAAUUUAUUUAUUUUUGUCGUGUUUGUCUUGUCAUUUUCUUUUCAGGACGACAUUUUUAUCAGUAAACCUGUAAGGGAACACUUAAAGAAAUACGACAAAUUGCUUAAAGGUUUUGAAGUGUCAAAGGCCCUCGAUGCAGUUUUGGAGGUAAGCAUGUGUGUCUCUUUUGUCUUUAUAGUGACUGUCUAUACACUGUUACGUUAAAUCAUUAGCACCAUUGAAGUUGGUAACAUACAAAAUUGCAACUGAUGUUAAUUGCAAGAUGGGGAUUUCAACUUUUUUAGGAGGCAAUGCUGCCAUACCAUCGCAAUUCAUUGUGUUCCUCUGUUAUUGAUUGUAUCAUAUUUCCCAUGACUAGACACAGAUCGGAAGAUAAUGAUUUGAAGAGGCAGAGCACCAAUAAUCACAUAGUAAUGCGUUGGAAUGUUACAAUGCAACCUUCUAUUGAAGCUUCCAAUUUGAUUAGUUUGGCCUGAAAUUUUGAAAUUCACUUUCAAUUCUCACCUUGGUAAAUUAAUUGUACUUAAACUAUUUGUGUAAAACCAGUAUCAUGCCCUCACUUUUCCUCAAUAAACCAAAAUACAUAAAGAGAAGUAGUUCAUGAAGUAACCUACAAACUGCUCAAUGUUUUUUUUUCUCUUCUCAAACGAUAAUCUUCUAAAGUGUUUUUUUUUUUUUUAAUGCUAGUUUAUAUCGAGAGAGAGAGAAAUAAAGUGUAAUCUCUGGUUUUUACUUGCUCCCUGGCUUUCCAGUCCCCACCAUUCUUACUAGAACUAUUGAGAAAGUGUAAUUAGAAAUCUAAUUCUUUUCAUGCUACAAUGUAGAAAAUCUGUAAAAUGUAUUUUGCAGAAGGCCAUGUGACUUUACCUACUAGAACAUGUUUUGUGGCAUUUGUAGGGUAUAGUAGGAAAAUACCUGACUUCACAUGCUUCCUGUCUUCCAAUCCACGAUUCUCAGACCACUGAUUUAGUGAAAGAACACGGUCUGUUAGCCAAGGCUGUACGAGUGCUUUUACUAUCAGCUGUGUAUCUGCACUUUGCAGGAUUUCUUCUAAUAAGAUUCCGUCCUCCCUUCAUCUUUCUUAGGCUCCACUUCGAAUCCAGAGGCCUGAAGUGACCGUAGCGGUUAUGAAUGAACUGAAGCGAAGAAGAACACUUAAAAAUGCUCUAGCUGGACGGGAUGAAAAACAACUCAACCUUCUUCUCACCUUCCUUCUGAAGUAAGACCGAGAUGUUACUCCUGAUCUCAAAUCUCACUUUUCAACAAUAAUGAUGGUUUGAUUGCUACUAAAGAUGUGGGUUUUUGGUUUUUUUUUUUUUCCUCAAACUAUUCUUAUGUAGUUAAAAUAACUUUACUUUCAGUGGUUUUGUGUAGUAGUGUUUAAGGUCGACAUGAGAUGUAGUUAACUGGCAACUCUUCAUUUUUCCUCUGAACAGAAAUCUGGUAGAACCAAGAUUUGGUCCAAUCUUAGUCCAUGUGGCAGACCAAGUUAUAGGUAAGUGUAUGCUUUCAAUGACAAUCUUAAAAGGAAGGGGUGGGGGGAUGAUGUGUGUGAGGGUGCUGUGAUUUGUUUGAGGGUUUGUGUGUUCUCAUUAUAUGAAUCAAAAAAGAGAAGGCAAGAAAAACAAACCAAAGGCAAUGGGUUAUGUGAGCAGCACACUAUGACUGGCAAUGCAAAACAGAGCCAGACAUGCAGCCACCCAUUUAAAAAUGUCCCUGACAUUCCUAUAUACCCACUCACUAGGAGAGAAAUACAUUUCUCAUCUGGUACACUGAUUAGUAAUGCAAAAAUGUUUUUGAAGUUCCAGUAGAGCUUUGAUCAAACACAAUAAGUACGUGUGACCAUGGCAACUUUAGUAAUUGAUAUCUUUGCUAUCUGCAUAGUGAUGCCUCUUGGAUAAGAAAAUCAUUGGCGUGGCCAGACUCAUAACACUGCAGUUAUUAAAGAAGCGUUAGGCAAAUCACCUAGGGUCCAAUCGCCACAUGUCUCCGUCUCCCAUGCUCCAGUGUCAGCUGAGUGCUCGUUAAUGAUGAGGCUUGGCGGCAGAGCUUCCAACGGCAAAGCAGGCAGUUCUCCAAUGGCUUGUUUACUCUGGGAGGGCACUAGAGGGCUUGGUUUUUUACAUAUUUUAAAAAAAUUAGGUUAAUUUUUUUUGUUCCUUUCUGAAAACACAACUAUUCCAAAGAUUUUUAUUUUUAUUUAUUUAUUUUACUUCCAGAUAUCUAUGGACCAAUUUUUGGGAAGUCUCCGUUAAUUGAUAAGCAGUUUCUAAAGCUCCAAGAACUACUCGACAAAGAAAUCAAUUACCAAGAAGAGCUACUAGAAGUUUUAGGCAUGAUGGACACUCUCUUUGCAACAAUGACUAUGAAAAAGGAAACGUCCCUUGCAGUAGACAAACCAGUUGAUGUUUUAAAGCCUGUGCAGAGCAGCCAACCUGCUCCCAUGCAAACUGUCUGAUCUGAGACUUCUAGAAAAUGACUUUAACACAUGUUUUUGUACCACAUUUUAACAGUUACCUGGUGAAAACAUUCAGCCUAUGCAAAUAUCUUAUCCCCCAAGUCAGCAGAAUUUUCUUUUCAGUUAGAAAAGGAAGGCAAAGACUCUUAUUUGUACAAUUUUAAAGACUGUUCUUGUUUGCUCGGGGUACACAAUAUGUUUUUACAUAAAGUAUUGUUUUCUGAACUUUCAAAAACCUGAUCUUUUUAAAGACCUCAUUACGGGUAACGGUUACCUGUUGCAUGGUGUAAAUUAAAAAAAAAUGUAUUAAACUCCUGACAGCAAUAAUUUUCUAAACUUAGAGGACCACUAUAGGCACCCAGAUCGCUUCAGCUCAAUGAGGUCCCCCUAGUUUGAACUCUGCAGCUGAAAACAUAGCAGUUUCAGUUUACACUGCAGUGUUAAUCCAGCCUCUAGUGGCUGUCUCCCUGACAGCCACUAGAGGCUGCUUCCGUGAUUUACACUGAGUAAAUUGCACUUAUUUGUUGCAGGACGUCCUCACUGAGUCCCGCGUCAAAUAAGAUCCCCAUAGGAAGGCAUUGAGUAAUGCUUUCUUAUGGGUGGGUUUGAAUGUGUGCGCGCCUCUGGCCGUGAAUGAACAUUCGGCUCUACUUGGGAACUGACGGCGGCGGGGGAGGAGAGGUCCCCAGCGGUGAAUUAAGGUAAGUGGCUGGAGGGAUUUUAACGGGUUUGUUUUCCUGGCACUAUAGGAUCCCUUUUAAUUGUAAGUUCUAUCAUAUUAAGUUUAAAUAAAGAUUGAGUGAGGAUCAUCGGUAAGAGCAGAGUUAGAAAUACUUGAUUUGUUGUAAAAAUUGAAAAUCCUUUUUUAAAAGUAUUAAUAGUUUGCUAAAUUAAGUAAAUGAGACAUGUCAUAAUUGUCAGUGUGUGAAGUCUAAUGCGAGUUAAAUAUUUUUGCACUCCAGCAUCUAUCCUGGUAUAAUAUUAAAAGUAGAGCAGAGGGAACAGUUUGUG